CAGGUGCAACAGAUAGUUACUUGAUUGAUUUCAAGAGGAAAGUCCGAGCUGCUAUAAGACAGUGUUCCAUUUAACUAAUGGCCGUAGCAAUACGAGGGAAAGUGCAACAGAGAGUAGACUGCCGCUUUAUAGCGGUAAAGGUGAAAGGGUGGGGUAAGAGCCCACCAGUCUCUAUAGCAAUAUGGAGAGCUUGUAAACCCAACAUGGCAGCAAGAAACAGAUGGUCAGCGUCUUAAGGGAAGAGUUACGGUGGCAACACUGAACUCUUCUUAUGCUACUGUUUCGCUAGAGUUACUAUGUAAAUAGUAAAGUAGAUUAAUACUAUCAAAACAAAACUCGGCUUAUGUUGUGCCUACCUC
rnacentral:RNase_P_RNA from 1 species